rnacentral:rRNA from 1 species
AUUGAACGCUGGCGGCAUGCCUUACACAUGCAAGUCGAACGGCAGCGCGGGGGCAACCCUGGCGGCGAGUGGCGAACGGGUGAGUAAUAUAUCGGAACGUGCCCUAGAGUGGGGGAUAACGUAGCGAAAGUUACGCUAAUACCGCAUACGAUCUAUGGGUGAAAGCGGGGGAUCGCAAGACCUCGCGCUCGUGGAGCGGCCGAUAUCUGAUUAGCUAGUUGGAGGGUAAAAGCCUACCAAGGCAUCGAUCAGUAGCUGGUCUGAGAGGACGACCAGCCACACUGGGACUGAGACACGGCCCAGACUCCUACGGGAGGGCAGCAGUGGGGAAUAUUGGACAAUGGGCGCAAGCCUGAUCCAGCAAUGCCGCGUGAGUGAUGAAGGCCUUAGGGUUGUAAAGCUCUUUCGCACGCGACGAUGAUGACGGUAGCGUGAGAAGAA